rnacentral:rRNA from 1 species
GAUGAACGCUGGCGGCGUGCCUAAUACAUGCAAGUCGAGCGAACGGACGAGAAGCUUGCUUCUCUGAUGUUAGCGGCGGACGGGUGAGUAACACGUGGAUAGCCUACCUAUAAGACUGGGAUAACUUCGGGAAACCGGAGCUAAUACCGGAUAAUAUUUUGAACCGCAUGGUUCAAAAGUAAAAGACGGUCUUGCUGUCACUUAUAGAUGGAUCCGCGCUGCAUUAGCUAGUUGGUAAGGUAACGGCUUACCAAGGCAACGAUGCAUAGCCGACCUGAGAGGGUGAUCGGCCACACUGGAACUGAGACACGGUCCAGACUCCUACGGGAGGCAGCAGUAGGGAAUCUUCCGCAAUGGGCGAAAGCCUGACGGAGCAACGCCGCGUGAGUGAUGAAGGUCUUCGGAUCGUAAAACUCUGUUAUUAGGGAAGAACAUAUGUGUAAGUAACUGUGCACAUCUUGACGGUACCUAAUCAGAAAGCCACGGCUAACUACGUG